UACGGGGGGGGUAAGCGUUGUUCGGAAUUAUUGGGCGUAAAGGGCUCGUAGGCGGUUUGUCGCGUCGGGAGUGAAAACCAGGUGCUUAACACCUGGCUUGCUUUCGAUACGGGCAGACUAGAGGUAUUCAGGGGAGAACGGAAUUCCUGGUGUAGCGGUGAAAUGCGCAGAUAUCAGGAGGAACACCGGUGGCGAAGGCGGUUCUCUGGGAAUGACCUGACGCUGAGGAGCGAAAGCGUGGGGAGCGAACAGG
rnacentral:rRNA from 1 species